rnacentral:rRNA from 1 species
UACGUAGGUGGCAAGCGUUAUCCGGAUUUACUGGGUGUAAAGGGAGCGCAGGCGGCGCGUUAAGCCUGGUGUGAAAGCCCGCGGCCCAACCGCGGGACUGCAUUGGGAACUGGCGCGCUGGAGUGCCGGAGGGGUAGGCGGAAUUCCUAGUGUAGCGGUGAAAUGCGUAGAUAUUAGGAGGAACACCAGUGGCGAAGGCGGCCUACUGGACGGUGACUGACGCUGAGGCUCGAAAGCGUGGGGAGCAAACAGG